rnacentral:rRNA from 1 species
AUUAGCCAUGCAUGUCUAGUACAAACGAAUUAAAAGUGAAACCGCAAAAGGCUCAUUAUAUCAGUUAUGGUUUAUUAGAUCGUUAACAGUUACUUGGAUAACUGUGGUAAUUCUAGAGCUAAUACAUGCAAUUAAAAACAUGAACCCAUUGAGGAACGUGUGCUUUUAUUAGGCUAAAACCAAGCGAUAUUUACUUAUUUAUAAGUAGUAUCGUUACAAUGGUUGAACUCUAGAUAAUUUGCCGAUCGUAUGGUCUUGUACCGACGACAGAUCUUUCAAAUGUCUGCCCUAUCAACUAUUGAUGGUAGUAUCUUGGACUACCAUGGUUGCAACGGGUAACGGGGAAUCAGGGUUCGAUUCCGGAGAGGGAGCCUGAGAAACGGCUACCACAUCUAAGGAAGGCAGCAGGCGCGUAAAUUACCCAAUCCCAGCACGGGGAGGUAGUGACGAAAAAUAACAAUACAGGACUCAUAUCCGAGGCCCUGUAAUUGGAAUGAGUACACUUUAAAUCCUUUAACAAGGACCUAUUGAAGGGCAAGUCUGGUGCCAGCAGCCGCGGUAAUUCCAGCUUCAAUAGCGUAUAUUAAAGUUGUUGCGGUUAAAACGUUCGUAGUUGAAUUUGUGCUUCAUACGGGUAGUACAGUCAUCAUAUUGGCUUGUACAUUACCUUAUGUUAUGUAAGCGUAUUACCGGUGGAGUUCUAAUAAAUAUUUUAUUACAAUUUUUAAUUGUUUUAAAUAUUUAUGACUCCUAUUAAAAAAACCUGCUUCAAUGCUCUUUACCGAGUGUUGUUGUGGGCCGGUACAAUUACUUUGAACAAAUUAGAGUGCUUAAAGCAGGCUCCUAAUGCCUGAAUAUUUUGUGCAUGGAAUAAUGGAAUAAGACCUCUGUUCUACUUUCAUUGGUUUUUAGAUCAAGAGGUAAUGAUUAAUAGAAGCAGUUGGGGGCAUUAGUAUUACGACGCGAGAGGUGAAAUUCUUGG